rnacentral:misc_RNA from 1 species
UUUCCGUAGGUGAACCUGCGGAAGGAUCAUUAAUGAGUUGUCAUGGGGUUCGAUGCUGGCAGCCAAUUUUUGGAUGCAUGUGCUUGCCCUAACAAUCAUCUUCCAAACACCUGUGCACAUUUUUGAGGGAGUCUUGAGUUGGUUGCCGCUCUUGGGUGAUUUUCUCACAUUCCCUUAAAUCAUUAUACGCUAUUAACAAUGUUGAACGUGCUCUGUGCCGCAAGGCUAUUAAUAUAAUACAACUUUUAACAACGGAUCUCUUGGCUCUCGCAUCUAUUAAUAAC